rnacentral:rRNA from 1 species
CCUACGGGAGGCAGCAGUGAGGAAUAUUGGUCAAUGGCCGGAAGGCUGAACCAGCCAUGCCGCGUGAAGGUCAGUGCCCUAUGGGCGUUAAACUUCUUUUGUGCGGGAGCAAUAAUGGUCACGUGUGGCCAGACGAGAGUACCGUACGAAUAAGCAUCGGCUAACUCCGUGCCAGCAGCCGCGGUAAUACGGGGGAUGCAAGCGUUGUCCGGAUUUAUUGGGUUUAAAGGGUGCGUAGGCUGUGGGGUAAGUCAGCGGUGAAAUGCCCCCGCUCAACGGGGUGAAGUGCCAUUGUUACUGCCUUGCUUGAAUGCGGAUGCCGUGGGAGGAAUGUGUGGUGUAGCGGUGAAAUGCAUAGAUAUCACACAGAACACCGAGUGCGAAGGCAUCUCACGAAUCCGCGAUUGACGCUGAUGCACGAAAGCGUGGGUAUCAAACAGGAUUAGAUACCCUUGUAGUC